rnacentral:rRNA from 1 species
CCUACGGGAGGCAGCAGUGAGGAAUAUUGGUCAAUGGACGCAAGUCUGAACCAGCCAUGCCGCGUGCAGGAAGACGGCUCUAUGAGUUGUAAACUGCUUUUGUACGAGGGUAAACGCAGAUACGCGUAUCUGUCUGAAAGUAUCGUACGAAUAAGGCUCGGCUAACUCCGUUCCAGCAGCCGCGGUAAUACGGAGGAUUCAAGCGUUAUCCGGAUUUAUUGGGUUUAAAGGGUGCGUAGGCGGUCGGAUAAGUUAGAGGUGAAAUCCCGAGGCUCAACUUCGGAAUUGCCUCUGAUACUGUUCGGCGAGAGAGUAGUUGCGGUAGGCGGAAUGUAUGGUGUAGCGGUGAAAUGCUUAGAGAUCAUACAGAACACCGAUUGCGAAGGCAGCUUACCAAGCUACUUCUGACGUUGAGGCACGAAAGCGUGGGGAGCAAACAGGAUUAGAUACCCUUGUAGUC